rnacentral:rRNA from 1 species
GACAGAGGGGGCAAGCGUUGCUCGGAAUUACUGGGCGUAAAGGGCGCGUAGGCGGAAUGGCAAGUCGGUCGUGAAAUCCUUCGGCUCAACCGAAGAACGUCGAUCGAAACUGCCGUUCUUGAGGAUUGCAGAGGAGACUGGAAUUCCCGGUGUAGCGGUGAAAUGUGUAGAGAUCGGGAGGAACACCGGUGGCGAAGGCGGGUCUCUGGGCAAUUCCUGACGCUGAGGCGUGAAAGCGUGGGGAGCAAACGGG